rnacentral:rRNA from 1 species
CCGCCGGCGACCGGCGCACGGGUGAGUAACACGUAUGCAACCUGGCCGUGACAGAUGGAUAACCGGGAGAAAUCCCGCCUAAUACAACAUAAUGCCGGGAGGGGACAUCCCCUGCCGGCCAAAGGGGGCGACCCCGGUCACGGAUGGGCAUGCGGCGCAUUAGGUAGUUGGUGGGGCAACGGCCCACCAAGCCGACGAUGCGUAGGGGUUCUGAGAGGAAGGUCCCCCCACAUUGGAACUGAGACACGGUCCAAACUCCUACGGAAGGCAGCAG